rnacentral:rRNA from 1 species
AACGAACGCUGGCGGCAGGCCUAACACAUGCAAGUCGAACGGGGACUUCGGUUCUAGCUGCGGACGGGUGAGUAACGUGGGGGAAGGUUCCGUUCUCUAUGGGAUAGCCCUGGGUAACUGGGGGUAAUACAGGAUAAGCUCCAGUUGGGACAGAUUUAUCGUAGCAGGAUCAGCCCGCGUUGGAUUAGGUAGUUGGUGGGGUAAUGGCCUACCAAGGCGACGAUCCAUAGCUGGUUUGAGAGGAUGAGCAGCCACACUGGGACUGAGACACGGCCCAGACUCCUACGGGAGGCAGCAGUGGGGAAUCUUAGACAAUGGGGGCAACCCUGAACGAGCCAUGCCGCGUGAGUGAUGAAGGCCUUAGGGUUGUAAAGCUCUUUCAGCUGGGAAGAUAAUGACGGUACCCGCAGAAGAAGCCCCGGCUAACUCCGUG